rnacentral:rRNA from 1 species
AUUGAACGCUGGCGGCAGGCCUAACACAUGCAAGUCGAACGGUAACAGGAAGCAGCUUGCUGCUUUGCUGACGAGUGGCGGACGGGUGAGUAAUGUCUGGGAAACUGCCUGAUGGAGGGGGAUAACUACUGGAAACGGUAGCUAAUACCGCAUAACGUCGCAAGACCAAAGAGGGGGACCUUCGGGCCUCUUGCCAUCGGAUGUGCCCAGAUGGGAUUAGCUAGUAGGUGGGGUAACGGCUCACCUAGGCGACGAUCCCUAGCUGGUCUGAGAGGAUGACCAGCCACCCUGGAACUGAGACACGGUCCAGACUCCUACGGGAGGCAGCAGUGGGGAACAUUGCACAAUGGGCGCAAGCCUGAUGCAGCCAUGCCGCGUGUAUGAAGAAGGCCUUCGGGUUGUAAGGUACUUUCAGCGGGGAGGAAGGUGUUGAGGUUAAUAACCUCAGCAAUUGACGUUACCCGCAGAAGAAGCACCGGCUAACUCCGUGCCAGCCGCCGCCGUAA